rnacentral:rRNA from 1 species
GGGGUUAGUGGCGGACGGGUGAGUAACACGUGGGAACGUGCCUUUAGGUUCGGAAUAGCUCCUGGAAACGGGUGGUAAUGCCGAAUGUGCCCUUCGGGGGAAAGAUUUAUCGCCUUUAGAGCGGCCCGCGUCUGAUUAGCUAGUUGGUGAGGUAAUGGCUCACCAAGGCGACGAUCAGUAGCUGGUCUGAGAGGAUGACCAGCCACAUUGGGACUGAGACACGGCCCAAACUCCUACGGGAGGCAGCAGUGGGGAAUCUUGCGCAAUGGGCGAAAGCCUGACGCAGCCAUGCCGCGUGAAUGAUGAAGGUCUUAGGAUUGUAAAAUUCUUUCACCGGGGACGAUAAUGACGGUACCCGGAGAAGAAGCCCCGGCUAACUUCGUGCCAGCAGCCGCGGUAAUACGAAGGGGGCUAGCGUUGCUCGGAAUUACUGGGCGUAAAGGGCGCGUAGGCGGACAUUUAAGUCAGGGGUGAAAUCCCAGAGCUCAACUCUGGAACUGCCUUUGAUACUGGGUGUCUUGAGUGUGAGAGAGGUAUGUGGAACUCCGAGUGUAGAGGUGAAAUUCGUAGAUAUUCGGAAGAACACCAGUGGCGAAGGCGACAUACUGGCUCAUUACUGACGCUGAG